UUUAUGCACCAUUGGAUGAGCCUGCACUUGAUUAGUUUGUUGGUGGGGUAAUGGCCUACCAAGACUGUGAUCAAUAGCUGAUUUGAGAGGAUGAUCAGCCACAUUGGGACUGAGACACGGCCCAAACUCCUACGGGAGGCAGCAGUGGGGAAUCUUGCACAAUGGAGGAAACUCUGAUGCAGCGAUGCCGCGUGAGUGAAGAAGGCCCUUGGGUUGUAAAGCUCUUUCGUCGGGGAAGAAAAUGACUGUACCCGAAUAAGAAGGUCCGGCUAACUUCGUGCCAGCAGCCGCGGUAAUACGAAGGGACCUAGCGUAGUUCGGAAUUACUGGGCUUAAAGAGUUCGUAGGUGGUUGAAAAAGUUAGUGGUGAAAUCCCAGAGCUUAACUCUGGAACUGCCAUUAAAACUUUUCAGCUAGAGUAUGAUAGAGGAAAGCAGAAUUUCUAGUGUAGAGGUGAAAUUCGUAGAUAUUAGAAAGAAUACCAAUUGCGAAGGCAGCUUUCUGGAUCAUUACUGACACUGAGGAACGAAAGCAUGGGUAGCGAAGAGGAUUAGAUACCCUCGUAGUCCAUGCCGUAAACGAUGUGUGUUAGACGUUGGAAAUUUAUUUUCAGUGUCGCAGGGAAACCGAUAAACACACCGCCUGGGGAGUACGACCGCAAGGUUAAAACUCAAAUGAAUUGACGGGGACCCGCACAAGUAGUGGAGCAUGUGGUUUAAUUCGAAGAUACGCGCAGAACCUUACCAACACUUGACAUGUUCGUCGCGACUCUAAGAGAUUAGAGUUUUCGGUUCGGCCGGACGAAACACAGGUGCUGCAUGGCUGUCGUCAGCUCGUGUCGUGAGAUGUUGGGUUAAGUCCCGCAACGAGCGCAACCCUCACUUUUAGUUGCCAUCAUUAAGUUGGGCACUCUGAAAGAACUGCCAGUGAUAAGCUGGAGGAAGGUGGGGAUGACGUCAAGUCCUCAUGGCCCUUACGUGUUGGGCUACACACGUGCUACAAUGGUAUCUACAACAGGAAGCAAGACUGCGAAGUUAAGCAAAUCCCUAAAAGAUACCUCAGUUCGGAUUGCACUCUGCAACUCGAGUGCAUGAAGCUGGAAUUACUAGUAAUCGUGGAUCAGCGUGCCACGGUGAAUGCGUUCCCGGGUCUUGUACACACCGCCCGUCACACCAUGGGAGUUGGUUCUACCUUAAGGCAAGGUUUAAAACCCUUGACCACGGUAUAGUCAGCGACUGGGGU
rnacentral:rRNA from 1 species